rnacentral:rRNA from 1 species
UACGUAGGGUGCAAGCGUUGUCCGGAAUUAUUGGGCGUAAAGAGCUUGUAGGCGGUUUGUCGCGUCUGCUGUGAAAUUUCGGGGCUCAACCCCGAACUUGCAGUGGGUACGGGCAGACUAGAGUGUGGUAGGGGAGACUGGAAUUCCUGGUGUAGCGGUGAAAUGCGUAGAUAUCGGGAGGAAUACCAGUGGCGAAGGCGGCCUUCUGGACGGAGUACUGACGCUGAGGCGCGAAAGCCACGGGGAG